CUUGAUCGAGCCCAACCACAAAGGUUUUCCGGGCUCCGCCCUAUCUUGCCCGUAGGUCGCCAAAAGGGCUUGCGCUUC
rnacentral:antisense_RNA from 1 species